AUGAGGGGAGGGACUCGCUGGAGACCGCGUGCCCCCACCCUCCUUCCGCUGCCUGCCCGGAACCUCGCGGGGAUCCUUCGGAUGCUUCUCUAUGUCCAGGAGGGAGUCCCCUGCCUCUGCGACCGCCCUUCUAGUGACACCUCACGUCCAGCGGUCGUCCCCUGCCCUGAGCAGCAGGGCCCUGAGGCUGCGGCCCCUGGGGACCUGCUGGUUCCCGUUGUCACCUCCUCCCCUGUGCCGGGCACAGACCCUGGGCCCUCGCAGGCCUUUGGCGUCUGUGUUGUCGUGAGCCCUGCCUUGAGCACGAGGCCAGUGAGUCAGAGCAGCGCUGCGACUUUCCCAGGGUCGCACAGCCGGCAGAGGUGGCAUUUAGGCCGAGGUCUGCCGGGGACCAAGGCCGUAACCCCCUGCUCCCACGGAACCCGGCCGGGCCGAGCCCUCAUCCCCCCACAAGGCCUGUUCCUUCUUCCCCAGAAGGGGCAGCUUCAGGCCUGUCCUGCUUCCGGGUCCACCGGGGCCUGGUGUGUGGCGAGGGAGGAGGGCCCCGUUCAGGCCCCGUCCCGUCCCCUCCUCCGACCGCGAGCCCCUCCCUCGCCUGCCUGCGGGAAGAGGAGCUGGGGCUCUAAUUGCCCACAGAUGUGGGGCAGCGGGAAGCACGGAGGACUCAGAGUCAGGAGACCCGGCCCGGCCUGGCUCCACUCCCACCCCCACCCCCAAGGGGCCAACCUCAGGCCCCCACGGCUCUUUCUUGCUGCGUCCGCAUCUGGAAGGCAGCGGGCAUGGUGGGGAGACCACACCAGGCUCAGGCCUCGGAGGACCGGGCACAGUCAGCAGCCCCUGUGCCCCAGCUGCUGUGCGACCCUGGGCCGGUGCUCUGCCGCUCUGGGCGCUGGGCCCUCCCCCGUGAGCCGCCGGAUGGGAGCGCACGUAGAUGAGGCCUUUCGCUCUGUCCCUGCACCUGACGGGGUCAGGCCUGAUGCCCGGGGCUGGAGGAGGGCGGCUGCGCCCUCCCCGCCUCCUGCAUGGACCACCUGGCUGGGAAACUGCUCUGUGGCUCGCGAAGGGCUCUGCUUGUGGAGGGGAAGGGCCGUGGCUGCCACAAGCGUGCUGAAGGCUCGCCUCCAUCCUGCUGGCACAGGCUGGCCCUGA
rnacentral:lncRNA from 1 species